rnacentral:rRNA from 1 species
UACAGACGGUGCAAGCGUUAAUCGGAAUUACUGGGCGUANAGCGCGCGUAGGCGGUUAUUUAAGUCAGAUGUGAAAGCCCUGGGCUCAACCUANGAACUGCACCUGAUACUGGAUAACUAGAGUACAGAAGGGGGUGGUGGAAUUUCCUGUGUAGCGGUGAAAUGCGUAGAUAUAAGANGGANCAUCAGUGGCGAAGGCGGCCACCUGGUCUGAUACUGACGCUGAGGUGCGAAAGCGUGGGGAGCAAACAGGAUUAUAUACCCUGGUAGUCCACGCCGUACACGAUGUCUACUAGCCGUUAGGGAGCUUGUCUCUUUGUUGGCGCAGCUAACGCAUUAAGUAGACCGCCUGGGGAGUACGGUCGCAAGCUUAAAACUCAAAUGAAUUGACGCGGGCCCGCACAAGCGGUCGAGCAUGUGGUUUAUUUACACGCAACGCGAAGAACCUUACCAACUCUUGACAUCCAGAGAAUUCGCUAGAGAUAGCUUAGUGCCUUCGGGAACUCUGAGACAGGUGCUGCAUGGCUGUCGUCAGCUCAUGUUGUGAAAUGUUGGGUUAAGUCCCGUAACGAGCGCAACCCUUAUCCUUAUUUGCCAGCGGGUCAUGCCGGGAACUCUAAGGAGACUGCCGGUGACAAACCGGAGGAAGGUGGGGACGACGUCAAGUCAUCAUGGCCCUUACAAGUUGGGCUACACACGUGCUACAAUGGCCGGUACAGAGGGCUGCAAACCUGCGAGGGGGAGCUAAUCUCACAAAACCGGUCGUAGUCCGGAUCGGAGUCUGCAACUCGACUCCGUGAAGUUGGAAUCGCUAGUAAUCGUGGAUCAGAAUGCCACGGUGAAUACGUUCCCGGGCGUUGUACACACCGCCCGUCACACCAUGGGAGUGGAUUGCACCAGAAGUAGCUAGCUCAACCUUCGGGAGAGCGGUUACCACGGUGUGGUUCAUGACUGGGGUGAAGUCGUAACAAGGUAACC